CCUACGGGUGGCAGCAGUGGGGAAUAUUGGACAAUGGGCGAAAGCCUGAUCCAGCCAUGCCGCGUGUGUGAAGAAGGCCUUCGGGUUGUAAAGCACUUUCAGUGGGGAAGAAAGCCUUGGGGCUAAUACCCUCGAGGAAGGACAUCACCCACAGAAGAAGCACCGGCUAACUCCGUGCCAGCAGCCGCGGUAAUACGGAGGGUGCGAGCGUUAAUCGGAAUUACUGGGCGUAAAGCGCGCGUAGGCGGUCUGAUAAGCCGGUUGUGAAAGCCCCGGGCUCAACCUGGGAACGGCAUCCGGAACUGUCAGGCUAGAGUGCAGGAGAGGAAGGUAGAAUUCCCGGUGUAGCGGCGAAAUGCGUAGAGAUCGGGAGGAAUACCAGUGGCGAAGGCGGCCUUCUGGACUGACACUGACGCUGAGGUGCGAAAGCGUGGGUAGCAAACAGGAUUAGAUACCCCAGUAGUC
rnacentral:rRNA from 1 species